rnacentral:misc_RNA from 1 species
UCCCGCUAACAAUAGCAAUAAAAGCUACCGACACCGACUCUAUCUUAACGACCGGUAAAGCCCUCUCUCUAGGAUAUGGCACUUCACUGCUCGGAGAGGAAUGAAUUCGUCUCCAAAUCAUCUUUUCCUUUAAGAAAGAAGUCAAUUACGUUCGAGCUUUUUGGCAACUGAUUCAACUCAAGCAAUAGAAAGAAAAGCUAUCUCCUCUAAUCUCUAACUAUGCUGAGUUCAAUCAAGCUAAGAACUAGUCGACCUCCUUACUUAUUUACCGC